GUUUGCUGAGAGUUAUUACCAUUUUUAAGUAUUGAUUUUUGUGAGAUGUGUUUUCUGCAACUAUCAUGAUGGUCCUAUGUUUCUCCCCUGUAGUCUACCAGUAGGAGGAAUUAAAAGAUAGCAUUUUAAUGUAUAUAAAUUAAGACUUCAAAUAAAAACAAUUGAACUCGACAAUAAUAUACACCUUUACAUUCCCAUGUAGCAACAAAGUUGGGUGAGAUGUGUUCAUGAGGUUGUGCAGCUAAGGAACACUCGUGCACUCUUGGCUGGAAGAGGAGAUUGGUAUAGUUCCUUGAAUAAAACAUUCGGCAUUACUGUAUAAACUGAAGAUGUGGAUGACCUAGCAAUUCCUAGAUGUGUACCCUAAAGAAAGUUAUGCACAUGAGCAUCUGGAGACCCCAGUACUGGGCAGCAGCAUCCAUUCAUAACAGCAGAAACCUGGAAACGACCCAAAUGUCCCGAGAUGGUAGAAUGCGCUAUUGUGCUCUAUUAAUACAACAGAAUAACAUAUAGUAUUGAAAAUAAAAAUUUAUAGCUAUGUGCGUCAAAACUGUUGAAU
ensembl:lncRNA novel transcript, sense intronic to ANKRD13A